UACGGGGGGGCAAGCGUUGUUCGGAAUUACUGGGCGUAGAGGGCGCGUAGGCGGCCUGUUAAGUCACACGUGAAAUCCCUCGGCUCAACCGAGGAACUGCGCUUCAUACUGCAUGGCUUGAGGGAGACAGGGGUCAGCGGAACUGAUGGUGGAGCGGUGAAAUGCGUUGAUAUCAUCAGGAACACCGGUGGCGAAAGCGGCUGACUGGGUCUCUUCUGACGCUGAGGUACGAAAGCUAGGGAGCGAA
rnacentral:rRNA from 1 species